UACGUAGGUGGCAAGCGUUGUCCGGAAUUAUUGGGCGUAAAGCGCGCGCAGGCGGUCUUUUAAGUCUGAUGUGAAAGCCCCAGGCUUAACUGGGGAGGGCCAUUGGAAACUGGGUUGCUUGAGUAUAGGAGAGAAGAGUGGAAUUCCACGUGUAGCGGUGAAAUGCGUAGAGAUGAGGAGGAACACCAGUGGCGAAGGCGACUCUUUGGCCUAUAAUUGACGCUGAGGCGCGAAAGCGUGGGGAGCAAACAGG
rnacentral:misc_RNA from 1 species